GCAAGUCGAGCGAGCUUGCUAGAUGAUUUUAGUGCUUGCACUAAAUGAAACUAGAUACAAGCGAGCGGCGGACGGGUGAGUAACACGUGGGUAACCUGCCAAGAGACUGGGAUAACACCUGGAAACAGAUGCUAAUACCGGAUAACAACACUAGACGCAUGUCUAGAGUUUGAAAGAUGGUUCUGCUAUCACUCUUGGAUGGACCUGCGGUGCAUUAGCUAGUUGGUAAGGUAACGGCUUACCAAGGCAAUGAUGCAUAGCCGAGUUGAGAGACUGAUCGGCCACAUUGGGACUGAGACACGGCCCAAACUCCUACGGGAGGCAGCAGUAGGGAAUCUUCCACAAUGGACGAAAGUCUGAUGGAGCAACGCCGCGUGAGUGAAGAAGGGUUUCGGCUCGUAAAGCUCUGUUGGUAGUGAAGAAAGAUAGAGGUAGUAACUGGCCUUUAUUUGACGGUAAUUACUUAGAAAGUCACGGCUAACUACGUG
rnacentral:rRNA from 1 species